CUGUGUGCUCUGUUUAUUUUCGAUUGGUAGCUGUGUGAUUCAGUGUUUUUGCAUGUUGUAUGUACAGGGAUUUGAUGGACGCAUUUGGGAUCUCGGCUCUCUUCAAAGUGAUUCUGAAUCUUGUUUGGGUUGGUUGAUGUGGAUUAUCUAAAGGCGAAGAGGCGACAGAGGUUAGUUCUCUGUACAUUUGGUCGUUACUGCAAUCAAUUUUAGGAUAGCCAUCACAGUACCGAGUACCGACUCAAUGUCUGCCUAACCACUGCUGCUUGCAGUGCAAUUAACAUGCUAACUGUGUUGUGUUAUCUAUAAUAGCCACAUUUACAGAGUUGGGUUUCUUUCAAUGAUUUCUUGCAGGUUUAACAUGCACAAUGCAAGCUCAGGUGGUGUGGUAUCUGGUCAUGUGAAGUACACCUGCU
rnacentral:lncRNA from 1 species